UGGGAACCUUCCCUAUGGUUCGGAAUAGCCCAGGGGAACUUGGGGUAAUACCGAAUAAGCCCUUCGGGGGAAAGAUUUAUCGCCAUUGGAUGGGCCCGCGUCGGAUUAGCUAGUUGGUGGGGUAACGGCCCACCAAGGCGACGAUCCGUAGCUGGUCUGAGAGGAUGAUCAGCCACACUGGGACUGAGACACGGCCCAGACUCCUACGGGAGGCAA
rnacentral:rRNA from 1 species